rnacentral:rRNA from 1 species
UGCUUGGGGAUCUGCCUUUAGGUGGGGGACAACAGUUGGAAACGACUGCUAAUACCGCAUAAUGUCUACGGACCAAAGCGGGGGCUCUUCGGACCUCGCGCCUUAAGAUGAACCCAAGUGAGAUUAGCUGAUUGGUGAGGUAAUGGCUCACCAAGGCGACGAUCUCUAGCUGGUCUGAGAGGAUGAUCAGCCACACUGGAACUGAGACACGGCCCAGACUCCUACGGGAGGCAGCAGUGGGGAAUAUUGCACAAUGGGGGAAACCCUGAUGCAGCCAUGCCGCGUGUGUGAAGAAGGCCU